GCCUUCUUAGCUCAGUUGGCAGAGCAGUGGACUCUUAAUCCAUGGGUCGUAGGUUCAAAUCCUACAGGGGGCACUA
rnacentral:tRNA from 2 species